rnacentral:rRNA from 1 species
AACGUAGGACACGAGCGUUAUCCGGAGUUACUGGGCGUAAAGGGCGAGUAGGCGGUGCGAUAAGACUGGUGUGAAAGCCUUCGGCUUAACCGAGGGAGGACACUGGUGACUGUCGGACUGGAGGCAGAUAGAGGGGUGUAGAAUUCCGGGUGUAGUGGUGAAAUGCGUAGAGAUCCGGAGGAACACUUAGGGCGUAGGCAAGACUCUGGACAAAUGUUGACGCUCAUGCACGAAGGCUAGGGUAGCGAACGGG